CGAGCGGAUCCCAGUUCAGAAGGAACGUGGAAACUUUGCAAUUAACUUUAUAUACAUUUGUACAUUAUAGAUGACUAUUAUAAUGUGUUGACUGAAGAUUUAUUCUCUGAAAACAAGUCUCAUGCAGUUUAGCGUUUCAAGAGGACUUGUACACGUAUGAAAGCGCACUCACUUGGCGUCCUCGAUGAAGCGCGUGGCUUUGACGUAAUCGCCCUGCUGCUUGUAGAGUAAGCCCAGCUCAUAGAGGGUGAAGGGGAUCAGAUAGUGAUCGUAACGGAUGCGCUUCUCACUGUAAACACACCAAGCCAUCAUCGAACCUCCAGCUGACUCACAUCACAGCAACAAGCCACUCCAGUGACUUACAGUGACUUUACCGUAACUUAAAAAAAUAUCAAGAAAGUGGAGUGUUCACCUGCUCAGCACCUGUGUGAAGCAGAGCUCUGCCUGCAGUAAUCGGCCCAGAUGCUUCAAACACAAACCCUUCAGCAUCUGAACCAGACACUGAUCAUCAGGAUGAAACUCAGACGGCACGUUUACCCAGAAUCAGACUGACGUAAGUGUGGUAGAAGAGCAGCGUCAGCACACACAGGAUGGAUCUGAGACUGUGACUGCCAGCGCCGUCCCGCAGCUGCGACAAACCGAACUCCUGCAGGACACCAACAGU